GUACCUUACCUGUCGCUUCUGCCUUAUCUGUCGCUUUGGGGUCCUAGCUGCGUUGCCCUGGUAACAACUGUAAACAAAAGGCUGCGGUUAACUGCUCCGCUCCCUGACAGGAUUUUUCGUUCAUUCGUGCCAAUGAAACAGGAGGCCUCGAUUCAUGCAGAAGAUAAGGUUUGAAACCCAGACAGCACGAAGCAUCUUGCCGACGUCAAAAUCAGAUCAACAGACAGGGACAUCAGCCUUCUCUUGGGAAUAGGCCAGAUAUGCCAUAACAAGAAAUGGUGUUUUGCCCCUGCGGUUGUGAAGAGGAUGCUGUGGAGGUGUGGCAGCAUGAACGUGUCACACAGACAUUGGCUAAACAACUCGGCUUCUACACUUGACAACAAAUGUGCUCUACGAUGACAUUUCCAGCAUGUCCAACUCAUCAGCAUCAGGGGAGAUUCGGUGAAGGUGGUGCACCAUCCAGGACCAGUCAUGGGUCACCAACACCUCUGCAAAAUCUACACUUCUUGUGAACCCUGUAGAAGACACUACAACCACAAAACUGCUAAUAAACCAUCACAUACUGCAUCACA